GGGGGAACUGAAAACAUCUAAGUACCCUGAGGAAAAAGAAAAUCAACCGAGAUUCCCUUAGUAGUGGCGAGCGAACGGGGACUAGCCCUUAAGUGGCUUUGAGAUUAGCGGAACGCUCUGGAAAGUGCGGCCAUAGUGGGUGAUAGCCCUGUACGCGAAAGUCUCUUAGUCAUGAAAUCGAGUAGGACGGAGCACGAGGAAACUUUGUCUGAAUAUGGGGGGACCAUCCUCCAAGGCUAAAUACUACUGACUGACCGAUAGUGAACUAGUACCGUGAGGGAAAGGACGAAAAGAACCCCGGAGAGGGGAGUGAAAUAGAUCCUGAAACCGUAUGCGUACAAGCAGUGGGAGCAGACUUUGUUCUGUGACUGCGUACCUUUUGUAUAAUGGGUCAGCGACUUAUUUUCAGUGGCGAGCUUUAACCGAAUAGGGGAGGCGUAGCGAAAGCGAGUCUUAAUAGGGCGUCUAGUCGCUGGGAAUAGACCCGAAACCGGGCGAUCUAUCCAUGGGCAGGUUGAAGGUUAGGUAACACUGACUGGAGGACCGAACCGACUACCGUUGAAAAGUUAGCGGAUGACCUGUG
rnacentral:rRNA from 1 species